CGGGGAGAUUCACGUCCAUCCGGCCACUGGCCUCCGCUCUCGGCAGAUGGGGCCGGCCGCCCGCGCGGAGCAAUCCGCGGCGGGGUCGUGUCCGGUUGCUUUUCCACUCGCCGCGGGGUGGAGCCGUUCCAGUGUGCGGUGGACCGCACUUCUCCCCUAGUAGGACGUCGCGACCCGCUGGGUGCCGGCCUACGGCCUGGGUGCGCAGCCUGUCCUUCCGCGGGCCUCGGUUCGCGUCGUUGGGCAGAGCCCCAGUGCUCUGGCUGGCUGCUCGGCGGUAUAUCUUGAGGAGUCGAUUCGCCAACUUUUGUUGGGCGCCCUUGGCUCCUGGCAAGCGUGCGCGGUUCUUCCCGGAUGACGGACCUACCUGGCCCGGCCCCGGACCCACGCCGCUGUUGGCACGGGAAGUCCUCGGGCGGAAUGAUCGCUCCCGUCAGCGGCGCUUCAGCUUUGGACAAUUUCACGACCCGUCUUGAAACACGGACCAAGGAGUCUAACAUGUGCGCGAGUCAUUGGGCUCUGCGAAACCUAAAGGCGCAAUGAAAGUGAAGGUCCCGCCUCGCGCGGACCGAGGGAAGAUGGGGUUCGGCGGCCCUUUGUGGCGGCGGCCUCGGCAUUCCCGGGGCGUCUC
rnacentral:rRNA from 1 species